rnacentral:lncRNA from 10 species
CCGGAGUCAACUAACAGACAAUCCUGCCAUUUUGGUGCUCAGGCUUAUGGGGGGAAAAGACGUGAUAAGGUGGUGAUAAGGCAACUUAGUAUGUGAAAAGUGCUACAUGGCCCAAAGGAGAAAAUGACAACUUUCUUGGAAGGUUCACAGAAAGCUUCACUGAGAAAUAAAUGCUUGGUUUUGCAUCUCAAAGUAUAAGUCAGAAUUCACUAGGCAGACAAGAAUUUGAAGGGAAUCAAAGUAAAGAAUCACAAGAGCAGAAGCUGAGAAGUUGGUGGCGUUGGGUAGUACUGAGCAGUUAAAUAGGGCCACAGUGCAGAAAGCUUUAUGAAAAAAAUGUAUCAAUUUGCUUUUGCUGUGUAACAAACUACAGCAAAACUCAGAGGUGUGCAACUAUAAGCUAUGGGACUCUAGUUAUGUCAUCUGGACUUGCUCAUUCAAGUGUAGGGGGCUCUGCUCUAGACAAGGUUCAGCUGGAGCAACACUGUCUCGCUUGUUCAUCUUCCUCCUCUCAUGACCAGCAGGAUAGACUAGGCAUAUACUUCCGGUGGCGAUGGCAGAAGCACAAGAGUAAAUCAGGCCAGUAAUCCAAAUAGUUUUCAAGAUAUUGCUUGUGUCACAUAUGCUAAUAUCUCUUUAACUAAAACAUGUCAUGUGGUUGAACAUAGAGUCAAGGAGUGAAGGAGUGAAGUGAGCCCCACCCUCAGUGAGAGAGCACUGUGCUACAUGGAUACCAGAAAUAUUAUAUCAUUGGAGAUAUCAAUAUACAUGAUAAGUAACUAAGAGGAAAUAUGACACUAAAGUAUUUUAAACGAAGAAAUGACAUGCUUGUAUAUGCAUUUUAGGAAGAUCUAUCUGGCCUCUGUAGAAGACACUUUGGAGGAUACUAAAAGUAGAGACAGUCAAAGCAGCUAAGAAGACCCUGAUUGCCCAUAGGAACUGAAACUGCAGAAAGUGAAACUAUGGAUGAAGGCGGACACCUGUAUGACUUUCAGCCAGCAACCGUGUCUCAGGCCAUCGCAGGCAUGCAGGCUCUCAUCUCGCCUCACUGGAAUGUGGGUGUGAGUGACUUUACCGCCUCAUUUCUCAGCACAGGUUCAGGACCCAGAUGUGAAACCAACCCGCAGAAGCCACAUGUCAGUAACUGUGGGUCCCUUUAGGGGAAGGCAGAAGCUAGGAGCAGGGAUUUGGUGAAGGUUUUGCAAAAUCAUCAUCAACAGUCAAAAUUACCAGGGAAUCCUGUGAAAUGCUGAAAGUGUGACAGAGAAGCUGGCAAAACUUAUUAUAUUAGUACCCAAAGAGUAAUGCAAUCUCCUACUUUCUUAGAGGGCUUCUUGUUCACUAGCACUAGUACUCAGUGCCUCGAAUAGUAUCUGGCAAACAAUUACAAUAAAUACAUGUCACAGGAAUGAAUAAAAGCAACUCUGUGAAGCACCCAAGAAUUUCUUCUCUUCAGGCUUAUAAAUAAUAUCCUGCUCUAAAACAUGUCAGCUGCUCCAGUGAUCAGCCUUGGGCCUUUCUAAGAAAAUACUGAGUCUUUAUUUCUAAUUAAUUCAUUUUAUUAUUUUUAGUUCACCCCAAAUGUGAGACAUUUGGAAAACUCAGAUAUAAUGUAAAGUAUUUUAUUAUCAUUUUCUAGUUCUCUCUGGCGCCAGGCAAAUUUGGCUAUAAACAAAAGCUAAUAAACCCUGAUUUAAGGGCCAUAAUGCCUCUAGUGUGUGUACUAGGAGUACAACAAGAUGAUGCAAUACCACAAGGCCCUGUUUUAGUUAAAAGUCACAUUAAUGACUUCAUCCUUCAUAGUUGCCCAAAGAACCCUGAGAAAGAAACCUUCAACUCUUACAUCGUUUUCUGUCUUAAGGGUAAUGAACCAUAUGUGUAGACAGCUGCACUGUCUGUAAACUAUGGUCAUUAAUUACACAGGAGACAGGACACUUCCAGGGAGAGGCGGGUGGAAAAAGAAGGGUGAGACUUUGAAAAGUCAUGGCGAUUAUUAAUAACAGAAAGGGCAACGAAAAGGGUAAGAUGCCUGUCCUCCAUAUUUCAAAUACAUUACAUUGCCCAUAGCAAUGAAGUAGCAGAAAGGUCUGGAUAGGAUGGAGAAUGUUUUCGACCUGCAUCUGAGGCCAGAGUUAAACAAAACAGGGUACCACAGGCAAGGAUACAUGUAGAUUCACAUACAGAAUUUCAAAGACUAUGCCAAGUUGGUGAACCAUUUUCCUAAGGAAUAAGAAGUCAACUUAGUCUAAAGGAGAUACUGAAUUACAGUACAGAAUGUAAACCAAAGAACACAAGGAGAGAACAUCAGAUUUGAGCUUUCCCCCGAGUUUCAGGUAUGAAUCUCUAAGAUAUCAGAUGCUUAGAUAAUUCAGGCUAAAAUUAUGGGACAAGAGUCCAAGCUGGGUUACAGCAAGCAAGAAUAAAGGCUAUGACUAACACAGAUUUUCACAGCUUAAAGGCCAGAUCCAGCUAGAGAGGUGGCUCCAGCCCAUAGAGGCAUGGUGUGCCUCCUGAUAUCCUUCCUCACUUUACGGGCCACAUGUGGGACACAUCUCUAAAAACAUAAAUGUAGAUACAGAGAAUACAAGAAACAAAUGUAAGCACUUCCAUUUCUUAAACUUUUUGCAAUCAUCAUAAAUUAUUCACUAUACUAAGGCCAACAAAGGCCAGUGUCUGUACCAGCACAUACGUACCCAUAGACAGGAACUCUACUCAACACUGUAUUUUCAGUACCUCACAUACUGGCCAAAACAGGCUCAAUGGGAAUUUCUUAAAUAAAUUAAGUCAUAUAUUUAUUGAAAAAUGGGAGUAACCUCUCUACAAAAGAAUCCAGAAACGUACUGAACAGAGAACAACAAACUGAAAAGUCUGACUGAUAAAAGCAUGAUCUUUGUUUCUGCUGUGUGAAAUGGUGAUCACAACUAAGUGUAAGUAUAAAGAAAAUCUGGGAUUGAAAGGCCAGAUAUAUUGACAAAAGGGAAGGAGAGUUAAAGAACCAUUGAAGAGUUAUGUACAGUAGAGUGAUAUGAUCAAGUUGACAUAUGAUAAAGUCCCUCUGGAAGUUAAAUGGCAAGUGGGUUAGUGGGUAGAGUAAAUUACAGUGGAAAGACCAGGAAGACACUGUUCUUUUCAUCUAGACAGAAUAUAACAAGCACAUGAAUUAGGACUGUGAAAAUAGAGGGGAUGGGACAGAUAUUAAUAGGGUAGUACUGAUGUGACUUUGUGACUCUUGGAUAUUAGGAAGGAAAAAAAGAAAAAAAAAUCUGGGAUUGCCUCCAAAGCACUAACUUCAGAGCUACAAAAGUUAUUACAUUAUCAAUAAAUCUUUCAUGGAUUAAUAAAUACAACAUGUGUAAUCUUUAAAUUCUUAUUAUUUAUAAAAA